rnacentral:SRP_RNA from 1 species
AAAGGACAGUUGGACGUUAAAGGUUGUAAAUCCGGUCAGGUUCGGAAGAAAGCAGCCGUAGCAACGCUUGGCGGGUUAGCUGUCCGCAGGG